rfam:Lupinus angustifolius cultivar Tanjil chromosome LG15, whole genome shotgun sequence.
AGGUGCGAUCAUACCAGCACUAAUGCACCGGAUCCCGUCAUAACUCUGCAGUGAAUCGUGUUUGGGCGAGAGUAGUACUAGGAUGGGUGACCACCUAGGAAGUCCUCGUGUGUCGCCUCUC